rnacentral:lncRNA from 1 species
AUGCACUGUGGGGACAUUCCCAGCCCCUGCUGUCCCCAGCCCUCCUGCAGCACAGGCAGGGCUGAUCCUGAGUGCAGCAGUGCCACAGAGGAUGCACUGUGGGGACAUUCCCAGCCCCUCCUGCCCUGCCCCUCUCCCUCCUCCUCCUCCCGAGUGCCCUCAGAGUCUGAGCCCAGGCUGGGCUGUGACCCCCCCAGGCUCAGCCAAGCCCCCCCAGCCCCUGUGCCCCUGCCAGCUGUGGCCCGUGGGCUCAGCAGGGCAUGGCCAGCAGCCCUGGCCUUGCCUGGCCCACGCGUGCCCAGGGCAGAGCUUUGUGAGCUCCUCUGCCCUGGGGCCGGGUGUCCCCUGUGCCCUGGGUGGUGCCAGAAGUGUCCCCACGUGGCCCACGGGCUCUGCAGGCACCAGUGGCAGCAGCCCUUGCACAAACCCACCCAGCUCUGGCUGCCUGGGAAGGGGCCCCUGACUGAACAGGGUGCCAGAGCCAUGCUGAGCACAGAGCAGGGCAGGAGCACUGGCAGGGAACAGCAGGAGCCACAGCAGGAUGCAGGGCCAGAGCUGCCAGCACCAGGGCAGCGUGUCCAGACAUGGCAUCAGGCUGGCAAGCCUAUCCCUAAGACCAGACCUCCUGACUUCUGCCAUUCCUAAUCCACCAAGACGAGAGGUUAUUUAUGGGACUUGACAAAUUGUCUAGAGACUCACGUCGUCCAGCGAUCCCACGGACCCCCACUGCUUACCUGGCAAAAUUAUGACAACAAACCAUGCUAUAAAAGGGAGCUGCAAACCAAAGUUCGGUGGAGCACGGAGUGGGCUGUGACCUCUCUGCUUCCCCACCGCUGCUUGCUCUGUCUACAUAAAAUAAAGCGAUCUAAACUUUGCUAAAUAUCGAGACUUUUGUUCCUCAUUUAUCACACGCCCCUGGGGGGACCCCGAGGCGUGCGGGGAGGGUGCGGUGCCUCGCCUCGCCGCGGGGGGGGGGGGGGGGGGGGGGGGGGGGGGGGGGGGGGGGGGGGGGGGGGGGGGGGGGGGGGGGGGGGGGGGGGGGGGGGGGGGGGGGGGGGGGGGGGGGGGGGGGGGGGGGG